rnacentral:rRNA from 1 species
ACGGGAGGCAGCAGUGAGGAAUAUUGGUCAAUGGCCGGAAGGCUGAACCAGCCAUGCCGCGUGAGGGAAGAAGGCCCUAUGGGUCGUAAACCUCUUUUGCCCGGGAGUAAUAAGGUUCCUGCGGGGGCCGAUGAGAGUACCGGGCGAAUAAGCAUCGGCUAACUCCGUGCCAGCAGCCGCGGUAAUACGGAGGAUGCGAGCGUUAUCCGGAUUUAUUGGGUUUAAAGGGUGCGUAGGCGGACUGGUAAGUCAGCGGUGAAAUAUCCCCGCUCAACGGGGAGGCUGCCGUUGAUACUGCCGGCCUGGAGUCCGAACGGCGCCGGCGGAAUGUGUCAUGUAGCGGUGAAAUGCAUAGAUAUGACACAGAACACCGAUCGCGAAGGCAGCUGGCGAGGACGCGACUGACGCUGAGGCACGAAAGCGUGGGGAUCAAACAGGAUUAGAUACCCUGGUA